UACGUAGGGGGCAAGCGUUGUCCGGAAUUAUUGGGCGUAAAGAGCGUGUAGGCGGCCCGAUAAGUCCGCCGUGAAAGUCCAGGGCUCAACCCUGGAAUGCCGAUGGAAACUGUCGGGCUGGAGUCCGGAAGAGGCGAGUGGAAUUCCUGGUGUAGCGGUGAAAUGCGCAGAUAUCAGGAGGAACACCUGAGGUGAAGACGGGUUGCUGGGCCAACACUGACGCUGAGGCGCGAAAGCCAGGAGAGCAAACGGG
rnacentral:rRNA from 1 species